GAAAGGGAGUUUAAUACCGGAUGUGUUUGUCUUUCCGCAUGGGAGCGACAAAUAAAGAUUAAUUGGUAAAGGAUGGGGAUGCGUCCCAUUAGCUUGUUGGCGGGGUAACGGCCCACCAAGGCGACGAUGGGUAGGGGUUCUGAGAGGAAGGUCCCCCACAUUGGAACUGAGACACGGUCCAAACUCCUACGGGAGGCAGCAGUGAGGAAUAUUGGUCAAUGGGCGGGAGCCUGAACCAGCCAAGUAGCGUGAAGGACGACGGCCCUACGGGUUGUAAACUUCUUUUAUAAGGGAAUAAAGUUCGCCACGUGUGGUGUUUUGUAUGUACCUUAUGAAUAAGCAUCGGCUAAUUCCGUGCCAGCAGCCGCGGUAAUACGGAAGAUGCGAGCGUUAUCCGGAUUUAUUGGGUUUAAAGGGAGCGUAGGCGGGCUUUUAAGUCAGCGGUCAAAUGUCGUGGCUCAACCAUGUCAAGCCGUUGAAACUGUAAGCCUUGAGUCUGCACAGGGCACAUGGAAUUCGCGGUGUAGCGGUGAAAUGCUUAGAUAUCACGAAGAACUCCGAUCGCGAAGGCAUUGUGCCGGGGCAUAACUGACGCUGAGGCUCGAAAGUGCGGGUAUCAAACAGGAUUAGAUACCCUGGUAGUCCGCACGGUAAACGAUGAAUGCUCGCUAUGGGCGAUACAAUGUCCGUGGC
rnacentral:rRNA from 1 species